CCUCUCAAGGCGUAGUGGUUAACGCGCCCCAACUAGAGAUCGGGGAGUCGUGAGUUCGAUUCUCACUGAGAAGA
rfam:Aedes aegypti strain Liverpool supercont1.79 genomic scaffold, whole genome shotgun sequence.